UACGUAGGUGGCAAGCGUUGUCCGGAUUUACUGGGCGUAAAGAGCGCGCAGGCGGUCGUUCAAGUCGCGUGUGAAAGCCCCCGGCUCAACUGGGGAGGGUCACGCGAUACUGAUCGACUCGAAGGCAGGAGAGGGUAGUGGAAUUCCCGGUGUAGUGGUGAAAUGCGCAGAUAUCGGGAAGAACACCUAUGGCGAAGGCAGCUCUCUGGGACGGUACUGACGCUGAGACGCGAAAGCGUGGGGAGCAAACAGG
rnacentral:rRNA from 1 species